AGAGAUGCACUGGGUUUAAAGCGUGCGCAGGCGGUUUUGUAAGACAGAGGUGAAAUCCCCGGGCUCAACCUGGGAACUGCCUUUGUGACUGCAAGGCUGGAGUGCGGCAGAGGGGGAUGGAAUUCCGCGUGUAGCAGUGAAAUGCGUAGAUAUGCGGAGGAACACCGAUGGCGGAGGCAAUCCCCCUGGGCCUGCACUGACGCUCAUGCACGAAAGCGUGGGGAGCAAACA
rnacentral:rRNA from 1 species